UCCAAUUUUUACUGGAAAAAA
rnacentral:piRNA from 1 species